AGUGAACGCUGGCGGUAGGCCUAACACAUGCAAGUCGAACGGCAGCACAGUAAGAGCUUGCUCUUACGGGUGGCGAGUGGCGGACGGGUGAGGAAUACAUCGGAAUCUACUUUUUCGUGGGGGAUAACGUAGGGAAACUUACGCUAAUACCGCAUACGACCUACGGGUGAAAGCAGGGGAUCUUCGGACCUUGCGCGAUUGAAUGAGCCGAUGUCGGAUUAGCUAGUUGGCGGGGUAAAGGCCCACCAAGGCGACGAUCCGUAGCUGGUCUGAGAGGAUGAUCAGCCACUCUGGAACUGAGACACGUCCAGACUCCUACGGGAGGCAGCAGUGGGGAAUAUUGGACAAUGGGCGCAAGCCUGAUCCAGCCAUACCGCGUGGGUGAAGAAGGCCUUCGGGUUGUAAAGCCCUUUUGUUGGGAAAGAAAAGCAGCAGGUUAAUACCCCGCUGUUCUGACGGUACCCAAAGAAUAAGCACCGGCUAACUUCGUG
rnacentral:rRNA from 1 species